GUGACAACCCAACACGAAAUUCACACGCUUUAUAACUCUUUUUCAGUUCAACUACAAACAGUCUUAUUCCUCCCAAUUUUGCUGGUUUGAUACAGCUAUUCUCCUUCCAACCAAUCUCCUCUGCUUCCCUCCUUUUACAAUUACUCUUGCAUUAUUCUUUUAGCUUAAGAUCUCCCAAGACUUAGAAGAAGGUUCAUAUCUCAAGGGAGCCUCGGCGUAGCUGGUAAAGUUGCUGCCAUGUGACCAGAAGGUUACGGGUUCGAGCCGUGGAAACAGUCUCUUGCAAAAAUGCCGGGUAGAACUGCGUACAAUAGAUCGACCCUUCCCGAACCCCGCGCAUAGCGGGAGCUUAGUGCACCAGGCUAUUUUUUUAUAACAAACUUUUAGUUAAGGGGUAGUUUUUGUUUUGCCAAUUGAGUAAUGGGUAAUCAUUGAUUUUGUGUAUUGAUCAGGUCAAAGAAGAAGAUGGGUCGUCAUCAUCAUCAUCAUAAUGAAGGAAAUAGACCAUAUGAUGAUCCAUUCUUGGCAUGUUGUUGUUGUCCUUGUUUUGUAGUUUCUUCUACUUUCUCUGUGUUAAAGAGGUGCCUCUUUGUAGUAUGUUUCCCUGUUUUGCAGUGCUUUGGAUUGGAUGAACACAGACAUCAACAUCAUCACCACAGACAUUUCUGACAACCCCAAUUUAAAGGAAAAAACUGAUUCUUGAGUAUAGAAUUCAUAGCAAGAUUAUGUUCUGAUUUGCUCAGUUGAAAUAUACACAGGUUCAUUAAUGUUGUUUCAAGUUUCAACUUA